GUAGUCCUAGCCGUAAACGAUGGGCACUAGGUGUGGGGGGAGUCGAAUCCCUCCGUGCCGCAGCUAACGCGUUAAGUGCCCCGCCUGGGGAGUACGGCCGCAAGGCUAAAACUCAAAAGAAUUGACGGGGGCCCGCACAAGCAGCGGAGCAUGUUCUUUAAUUCGAUGCAACGCGAAGAACCUUACCUGGGCUUGACAUGCUGGUGGUAGGCGCCGGAAACGGUGGCCGACCCUUCGGGGAGCCAGCACAGGUGCUGCAUGGCUGUCGUCAGCUCGUGUCGUGAGAUGUUGGGUUAAGUCCCGCAACGAGCGCAACCCCCGCCCUGUGUUGCCAGCAUUAAGUUGGGGACUCACAGGGGACUGCCGGUGACAAACCGGA
rnacentral:rRNA from 1 species